GUAAAAAUACGCAAAAUGGUAUACCUCGGUUAUUAAAAAAGUCUAAUCAACUUUCCGAGAUUACUUGAAUUUGAGCUUAGUCCAAGGAGAGCGGUCUUGGACGGAUACUUUGUCGAUAUUCGUGAGGGUAUUGACAGGAGAUAAGUGAGUAAGUGUAUCUUCUUAUCGCUAUAAAGAGCACCGAACUUGUCGCAGCAAUAAAUAGACGCUCCUUUUGAGGAGAAGAACCUGAAUGUCUUAUUAGGCGUGGUUGUUUAAAGAGAAACGCAGGAAUACCAAUAAUGCUGUUCGUGGUUGAUGUUUGGAAACAAACUAUAAGACGAGAAGCGGGUACAAGUAGCCUAUCCCGAGCUCUUUUUAACCAACGUAAAAUUGGGAAAAAUGAGGCAAUUCUGAAAGAUUGGUGAAAGUUGGAGGAAACUAAUCCUCCGUAAGGUCCGCCCCUGGCGGGGUUGGACAAGAAGCUAAGGGUCGCUCCCGAAAGCUCAGACUUGUCUGCUUACUGGCUGAAUAUUAUAGAAGAUUUGAAGGAGAAGACGAAGGUCUAUACCACUUUUAUUAUUUAA
rnacentral:sRNA from 12 species